rnacentral:lncRNA from 1 species
AAGCGCUUGGUACCAGGGAGGGAAUGGGAGGACGCUUGCGGGAUAGGGAGGCGGGGGCUGGAAAUUGGCAGGGUGAGAGCUGGGGAAACUAGUCUGGGACGCAGCCCUCCUUGUCCCCCUUCUUCAUUCACCCCCUUGUUGAGGCCCUUGGCUUUUGCAUAAUACACCCUUUAAAAAAAUGUAUUUAAAGAGGCUGGUUCCUAUCCAUCCGACUGGAGGCAUCUCAGUGCAAGAGCAAAGCUAAGUCCUGCACACGCUCCUCCCCUCCUCCUCCUCCUUCUCCCCCCAGGUUUUCCCGAAUGUAUCUACUCCGGUUACAACUAGACGCGGCCCCUCCCCCACCUGCCUCCCCCCUUCCUUCCCUCGAUCGUGGAGGGAGCGUUCUCUGUGCCUUCCCAAGUCCCCGUGGGGGACCUUCUAUGUUGGAGUGGGGGGAGGGGGGGAGGGUCAUAUAACGAAGGCCAGAAAGAACAAAUUAGAUAAUCAAAAGAAUUAUAGUAAUUGCUUUCACUUUCCCCCGCCCGCUCAGCGGAUUCCCUCCCCCGCCCCUCCCCUGGUUUUUCUGUCUGUCGGGAAUACUCGGUCUUUCCGACCCCCUCCCCUCCCCCAGGUUCCUCCUCUCCUCUCCCCUUGCUCGCGCGUUCCCUCUCUUCCUCCGUUUUCUGGUGUGCUGGAACGUUCAGCGGAAUAUGAUGAAUGAUCACCUGUCACAGCUUGUUUAUUAUAAUGCAGGCAAUCAAUUACACAUCCCCAAUGCUGGCCGGCCCGCAGGAAAUUUAUAUGCUCAGCACAAACCAAUGUGAAAAUGGAAUCUCAUUUGCCAAAUGUCUUUCUCCCCGUACAGCACGAUGAUUACAGUCUGUGUUUGUUUCAACAGUCGUGUACAACUGACAGUGCCAUCAUUUACUGCCUGGCUCAGGUCACGUUACUCUAAGGCUUUAUUUAUGGUGUUACGAAGGGCAGCACAGGAAAAGGACAAGGGUGUCUGUCAGGGAUGGCACUGUGUUAAAAAGUGGGCGUGCAAGGGCCGCAUUCCCGGGCAGCCGCUGCAACCUCAGCCCCUGGGCCCUUACCUCCGCAGCCUCUCCCAGCAUCCAGCUACCCAGACUCCAAGGCCCCAGGCGAGAGCCAGCUCUCGGUACCUGGAGCUCCACAGGUCCCAGAAUCGGGGUGGAUCAGAGUUCAAAUUCUGGUUCUGCUACUGUCUAAUUGCGUGCUGCAGGGACUCAAUCUCUUCAUCUGGGAAAUGGGAGUAAUAACCCUUGGCAGGAAUGUUGCGAUCCUCUGAGACAUGGCUGUCUCAAGACUGUUUUGUUUCCCUUCCUGGUGGAAUUUUGCACUUUUAUGUCCUGUGUAGCAGCAGGUAGUGUGGCUUUGAGAAAAUAAAAUGGCCACCUUGCUCCGCUGUUCUUUCUUUGUAAAAAAAAAAAAAAAAAAAAAAAAACGGCAUAGCAAUCUUGGCCUUUCUAGCUGUGUGACCCCAGGCCGGUCAAUCCCUCCUCCUCUCCAAGCCUCGGAUUCCUCCCCUGAGAAGUAAAGAAAAUAACUCCUAAACUGCCUCCCGAGGCUUGCUGGCAGGAUCCAAGGUGUCCAGAGAUGUUAAAAAAAAAAAAAAAAAAAAAAAAAAGCCCAGUAAAUGGGAAAGUGAGGCUGUCACUGCUGAGUGGCAUCCUGUUUUCAGGAGUUCUGGUUGGUCCCCAGAGUUCUGCUACACAAAAUGUUGACCCAAAUUUGUACCCCCACAACACUUGGUGUCAAGUGGGAGCUCAGAAACUGAGGGGCAGGCAGAUGCUUUUAUGUGUAUUAGGUUGUCUUUUAUUGUAUUGUAUAGUUCCUUUUUUUUUUUUUUUUUUUGAGAUGGAGUCUUGCUCUAUUGCCCAGGAUGGAGUACAGUGGCACGAUCUUGGCUCACUGCAACCUCCACCUCCUGGGUUCAAGCAAUUCUCCUGCCUCAGCCUCUCAAGUAGCUGGGAUUACAGGCACGUACCACCAUGCCUGGCUAAUUUUUGUAAUUUUAGUAGAGACAGGUUUUCACCGUGUUGGCCAGGCUGGUCUCGAACUCCUGACCUCAACUGAUCCACCCACCUCAGCCUCCCAAAGUGCUGGGAUUACAGGCUUGAGCCACCGUGCCCAGCCUGUACUAUAUAUUUCUUUAUUAUUUGACACGUGUAUUUGUUUAAUGGCCCUCUGCUCCACCAGUAUGGAAGCUCCAAAAGGAAAGAUACCAGAUUGAUCUUGAUCACCUCUGCCUCCCCAGCACCUAGUCUUCCUUGGCACAUCGGUCAGGCUGUGCCACAUCCACCCAGCCUUGCCUGGGGUCAUUUAUCCUACAUGUACUCAGAUCACGUGAACUGGUGAUGGGCCACCCAUGUGCCUGCCUGGAGACUCCUAUUCACCCUUCAGAUCAAUAUCCCCCAAAUAAACUCCCAGUCACUCUGGCAUCCCAUGUUGCUUUGUGAUCUCUGCCUCUCUCUAGACCAUUUGGCUCCUAUGCACAGGCAGCUAUGUCUUUUUCAUAUUUGGGUCCCCAAAAUGCACAGUGCGGUGCCUGCCUCAAAACAAAUGCUUUUCAAUCCGUCAAUCAAUCAGUUGACAUGGAUCAUCUUUUCUCAGCACUGAUGUAUGGACUACAACUUGGAAUUCCAUUAAAGCUCCUGGGGUCAAGAAAAAAAGUGAUUCAAGUUUAUUUAUUUAUUUUUUUUUGAGACAGAGUCUCAUUCUGUCGCCCAGGCUGGAGUGCAGUGGCACGAUCUUGGCUCACUGCAACCUCUGCCUCUGGGGUUCAAGUGAUUCUCACUCAUGCCUCAGCCUCCCAAGUAGCUGGGCAAGAGCCAGCACACCCGGGCUAAUUUUUGUAUUUUUAGUAGGGACGGGCUUUCGCCAUGUUGGCCAGACUGGUCUCGAACUCCUGGCUUCAAGUGAUCUGCCCACUUCAGCCUCCCAAAGUGCUGGGAUUACAGGCAUUUAAUCACUGCACCCGGGUGAGCCACUGCACCCGGCCAAGUUCAUAUUCUAAAAGUGAAACAUUAAUGCUGCAUUGUGUAUUUUUUGGUCAAGUGCUUCAGAUGUGUGGAAGGAAUUUCUUUGUAUAAAUGCAAUUAUUCGUCACCAUGAUGAUAAUUAUAACGAGGGUGACUGCACAGAACUGUGCCUCCCCAGCAAGCAUGGGCUGGGCAGGGCCGGGUAUUCCCUUCGCUGACUUGCUUCACUAGUUGACUAACAGACCUUAUUCCCGGGCCUGAGCUGAUGAUAUCCUGCCAAUGCCAGCUUCCCAACAUGGAGGGGACGCAAGAGCGAGCGCCAUGGGAUCCUGGGGGAAAAGCAGCCUGUGUUUGCUGCUGCUUUGACAGUUGAGGCUCUGAGAGGGACUGGCAAACAAUGGGAAAUGAAACAUUUGAGUGGUUGCAAAAAAUUCCAUGGGAAAUCCCCCCUGGUGGUAUUUAUGUGCGACGGCUGUGACAAGGAGAGCGCAGGGCUUUCGAUUUCAAGGGUUCCUGAGCAGACCACAAUGGCCUUCCAAGAUGGCAAUCCCCGGGAACAGCUCUCUCGGCCACAAAAGGCCAGUUUGUCUGUCCAGGGAAGAUCUGGCCCCAUGCAUCAAGUUGGCCAUGAGCUGCAGUGUCUUCUUUGGGGCAUGACCCACAUUUAUAGGGUCUGGGCCUCUGAACCUUCUGCUCCUAAGACAGAUCUAUCUCAGUUGUCCCUCUGGUUUUCCCAGGCCUCAAGGACCUGGGGGCUGAUAGGGGCUGAGGGGUUUCCCUCGGGCUCAGCCUCCAUCUGCAGAACUGUGGGAACCUCAGCCUCCAUCAGACCCCUCCCCAUUUUCUGGUCAGCACGUGGCCUCCUCCUGUUUCCUCCAUUCCCGUUGGUAAUGGACAUUUAUUUAACUUUUACUCCCCCUCCAUUCUCAUUUAGAAAAGAAAGUGAACUGAUAUUAACCAAUCUUUGUUUUGCCUUCUUUAACACUAAUGCAUAUGCAAAAUAGUUACCACUAUUGAUAAUAUCUUAUUGCUGCUGUGAUAUAUGUGUGUAUAUGUACAGAUCUGCUUGAAGGUAAGCUUUAUAUAGAUUUUUAGAGAUACUUGGUAAAUGAGAAAAUGGAAACUGAAAGAGGUUAAAUAAACUGCCCAUGUGUAUUGGUCAUGAGGUUUCAGUUGCAAAGUGACAAAAUCCUGACUUAGAUGAACUUAAACCGGAUGGAAAAUGUACAUUGUAUUAUUUGAGAAGCAAGGUCUGGAUAAGCUUCAGGCAUGGCUGGAUCCAGGCCCUCAGUUAAGUCUUUAGGAAUUUCCCUCUCUCUAGCUUUUUGGCUUUGCUUUUCCCUGUAUUGGUUUCAUGUUUAGAUUGGCUCACUUCACCUGUUUUACAUCUUUCCAGAGUCAAAUCCAGCCUUUUUCCUGGUUGCCUCCAUAAAAGUCCCAGGGUUAGGUUUAGUGUGCUCUGAUAGAUUCAGCUGCCCAUUGCUGAAGCAGUGACUCUGGCAACAGGGAUGGACUGAUCUAAGUGCCCAGGUUCCAGUCACUGCUGAAGCCCAGCCAGACCACCUGGACACAGUAAGAGUGAGUGGUUCCCCCAAAGAAAACUGGGGUGCUCUUACCAGAAGAAGGAGGAAUCGACAAAAAGACCUGAUGUCCUAAACUCCCGUGUCACACUGUCACUAAUGGGCAGGCAGACCCAUACAGCAGCUCCUCUGCAUCUUCAUGCUGCUAGAGACCACCACCGGGACCACCUCCCUCCUCCAUGCUCUAUCCUGCCCUGUGCCUCCAGCCCCGCCCCUGCUGCAGGAAUUCACUCUAGUCAGUAGUUUUCAAAAUGUGCGGGAAGGAGGAAGCCAGUGGAAGAGAGCAGGUGGCUGGGUGACCUGUGGCUAUGGGAUUCCCCUCCUCUAUUUCAACCAUCCAGCAAUUCUUGUGUCUCUUUGUAGAUUCAGUUUCCUUGUACACUUUUAUUUAAACAAAGGACACCCCAGAUUUUUUAAACUUGCAAAUCAGCAAUUUUUCUGGAAUCUAUGUCUACUUACCCUAAAUUAAGGAACAAUAGCUCAGAAAGAGGCAGGAAACUGACAACACGUCAAAUGAGUGCCAAGGGGAUCUGAGAAACCACACCUCCCGAUUCCCAUCUCUUGCCCUUUGCACCCACGGCCUUGCAGAUGGGGUCAAGAUUUGUGGGCUUCUGAUUUAUUGGCCAAGGAUGCAGACCUUAACAUGUAAGUGGAGCAGCUUCCCAGAAAAGAGAAGGAAGAGGAUACCUUUGCACAGUUUUUUUCUAGUCUCUGGGUUCUGUGCCCCCAGGGCAGGCAGCCUCUGGGGACUCCCUGUAGGUAGGAUCCUGCCAGAAUGGAGAAAAACAUCCCAAUUCCUGUUAUUCCCUCCUGGUCCUGGGAGCUUACAUCACCAUUCCAGGAGAACUUACAUGAGCAAGCCAUGUCAUGCUUCCGUUUAGGAGGAUGUUUACAAACCACUAUUCUGUCCUCUGAGUGUCUGGAAAGCUGGUGUCUGUGUACCAGGCCCUGCAAUGCAUUUCAAACACAGCUUUCUGCUGCACUGAUCAGUGCUAAUCCUCAUAGGUAACCUUUCUGAGCACUUCCAGCAUUCCUGGAACUGUGUGCUAAGUGCUUGACAUGUAUCAUUUCAUUGAAUCUUCCCAACAACCCAAUACCAUAGGUAGCAGUAUUAUUUUCAUUUUAUAGCUGCAAAUAAACGAAGGUGCAGAAAGGUGAAUGAAUUUGUCUGAGGUCCAUCAGCCAGGUUCAAACCCAGGCAAUCAGAGUCAAGAGAAUGAACUAGAUGCUACGGUACAUUGCUACGCUUAGACGCACCAGGAAAGCUCUGGACGAGGAAGAUGUAGGUUGUUGCCAGCACCUAUGCACGGACAGACAGAAAGUCCUCUGCUUCCUUCAGGCCCUUGCUUCCACUUCCCCGGGGCUUCCAGCUGAGCCUGCAUUUUUCUUUGACUUCCCCCUCUUGCCUGGCGUUUUCAGCAAACACACACAGAGGAUUACGGGGAGAAAACUAUCAUAUUACCAAGUGGACAUGGCUCCUAAGGUGCCAACUGAACACAGGUAAGUCGGGUAAGGAAAGGCACACAGUCUCAUUACUUAGACUACCCCGCAGCCGCUUAUUGAAUUAGUGUGAUUCUUAACAUCUUCAACUUGGAUCUCCUCCAGGCCAGCCGGCUGGUGCAUUCAGUACGACUCAGCUCGCCUUAACUCAAUUAACAAAGCCAGGCUGAGCCGGGCUGAGCUGAACUCAACAAGUUUUUCUUAAGCACUGAGCUGGCUGCAGAGGGGAAAAAAAAGCAACAAAGGAGAGCAAGACGCUGCCUUGGCCCUUUAAGAGUUGCCUUGCGCGCUUAGUGGAUAAUACGGUGCCGUAUUUUCUAAGUAUCACCUUGGUGGUUUUUGCCAUACCUGCACUCCCUCUGUGCUAUUAUUUACUUCAUAUUUUUCUUUAAACAAAUUCACUUCCUUUUUCAAACUUAUUUUUUUUAAUUAUUGAGGUGAAGUUGACAUACCAUAAAAUUAACCAUUUGAAAGUGAAUUCUUAGAGCAUGAUGCUCAUCUGAAGAAAAAAGUAAAAAUAAAGUGAAUUCAGUGGCAUUUAGUACUUUAUAGCGUUAUGUGACCAUCACCUUUAUCUAACUCCAAGACAUUUUCAUUACGUCAAAAUGAAACUCCAUAACCUUUAAGUAGUCACGCCCCAUUCCCUUCUCCCCGACAACCCCUGGUAACCAUCAAACUGCUUUCUGUUUCUGUGGAUUUAUCUAUUCCGGAUGUUUCAUGUAAGUGGAAUCCUACAGUAUCCUUGUGGUUCUGGCUUAUUUUACUUAGCAUAAUAUCUUUAAGGUCCAUCCAUGUUGUAGCAUGAAUCAGUGCUUCAUUCCUUUUCAUGACUGAAUAAUAUUCCAUUGUGUGGAUAAACACAACUUGUUUACCCACCCACCCAUUCAUUGAUGGACAUUUGAGCAUUUCCAUCUUUUGGCUAUUGUGAUUAGUUAAGUAAGUUUAGUUUAGUUUAGUUUUUAAGAUGGAGUCUUGCUCUGUCUUCCAGGCUGUAGUGCAGUGGCAUGAUUUUGGCUCACCACAACCUCCACCUCCUGGGUUCAAGCAAUCCUCCUACCUCAGCCUCCCAAGCAGCUGGGAUUACAAGUGUGUGCCCCCAUGCCUGACUAAUUUUUGUAUUUUUAGUAGAGAUGGGAUUCCUCCAUGUUGGCCAGGCUGGUCUCAAACUCCUGACCUCAAGUGAUCCACCUGCCUCGGCCUCCCAAAGUACAGGGAUUACAGGCAUGAGCCACCGUGCCUGGCCCAAAUAAGUUUACUUUAAAAGGAAAUUCUACAUCACUACAGUAAACGGGAAGCCAAUAUUUUUAUAAUACACAAUACAAUACCUACAUAACUAUUAGAAGGACAAAUUUCAUCUUUGUAGGUCAUAAAAAUCAUCCUGUGAACUAUCAGAUGCAAUCGUAAAAAGGCUGGGCUCAGGGAGUGGUCGGACUUGAGUUCAAAUCCUGACUUUGCCAUCUGUGUGACUCUGGGCAAGUGUCCUGUCCUCCCUGAACCUCAGUUUCUUUAUUUGUAAAAUGAUAAGACUUAAUAUUCCUUCCUCUUGUAGUGGUUAUGGGAAUUAAGAUCAUGAGUGGCCUGGCAGAGUGGCUGCCACCUGUGAUCCCAGCACUUUGGGAGGUCAAAGCAGGAGGAUGGCUUGAGGCCAGGAAUUCAAGACCAGCCUGGGCAACAUAGCAAGACCCCAUCUCUACAAAAAGUUUAAAAAAUUAACUGCGUGUGGUGGCACACACCUGUGGUCCCAGCUACUCGGGAGGCUAAAGUGAGAGGAUCACUUGAACCCAGGACUUUGAGGCUGCAGUAAGCUAUGAUCGUGCCACUUCACUCCAGCCUGGGCUUAAUAGGGCAAGACCCCAUCUCUAAAAAAUAAUAUUUUAAAUAAAUAAAUAAAACCAUGUGUAAAGUGUUAGAACCAUGCCAGGUACAUAGCAAGCCCUUCGAAACACAAAAGCUGGUAGGUAAAACUACAGGUCAUACACCCACUAGCGGUCAAUAUAUUAGCAGCUAACAAAGUAAAUAUUUGUUGUGUGCCAGAAACUGGGUGAAGCACCUUCCAGGUGUUAUGUCAUCUUCUCAGGGUUCUAAGAGGCAAAUAUUAUUAUCCCCAUUUCAUAGAUUGGAGAACAGAGGCAAAGAGAGGUGGAGCCAGUAGUCAAACAUUCAUGAAAGUUUAGGCCGGGCAUGGUGGUUCACGUCUGUAAUCCCAGCACUUUGGGAGGCCGAGGUGGGUCGAUCACCUGAGGCCAGGAGUUCGAGACCAGUCUGACCAACAUAGUGAGACCCUGUCUCUACUAAAAAUGCAAAAAUUAGCCAGAUGUGGUGGUGUGUAGUCUUAGCUACUCGGGAAGCUGAGGCAGGAGAAUUGCUUGAACCCAGGAGGCAGAGGUCGCAGUGAGCUGAGAUCAUGCCACUGCAUUCCAGCCUGGGCGACAGAGCGAGACCCUGUCUUGAAAAAAAAAAAAAGUUCAUAAAAGUUCAUACAGUGCAGGACUUGAACUCCAGGAAAGUUAAACGACAGUAUGAGAAGUAACUAAGAAUCACCUCCGGUGGAAAGUGGCCCCGGGGCAGGGGUGAUUCAUCGCAAAAUGGCUUCCUGAGCCCCUGAGGUCCAGCCUGGGCAGUGGCAGUGCGCGGCAAUCCUGGCCCAGUGGCUCUGUCCUUCUUGGAUUCCUUCCAGCAAUGUCUCUUUAUCAAGUCGCUCUUCCUCGGGUCUGCCAAGACUAGUCUCCCUGAGAGACUGCUCUCAGCCUUCACAUCUUUUCUAGUUGAUAUCCCUCUAGCAGUUAAUGGCUUCACCUGCCCUUCCUGUAUUCCAUCACCCAAAGACAAAUCCAGUGUCCCUAAAACCUCACCUGUGCUCUGCAAUCUCUCUCACUAGUUCCACGCUGCAUCUGAGCCCUCGAGACUGCCAUACAGCCUCUUACUAAUUAUCCACCCUGGUGCAAAAAUUAGCACGUCUCAGGUUCACAUGUAUCCAUUAUACCUUCACCGAUAGGGAUGCAGUCUGCAUAAUUCACAGUUUUAGUCUGCAUGGGGAAUCCUGUCUCACCCAUUGGCAACACUAGCAUGGGGGUUGUAUUACUCUUCUAGGGCUGUUGUAACUAAUCACACAAACUUCGGGGGUUAAAACAACAGAAAUUUAUUUUCUCAUGGUUCUGGAGGCUGGAAGUCUGAAAUCAAGGUGCAGGCAGGGCCAAGCUCCUUCUGAAGGCUCUAGGGGACAAUCCCUCCUUGCCUUUUCCAGCUUCUAGUGGCUCCUAGAAUUAUAUUAUUAUUUAUUUUUUGAGACAGAGUCUCACUCUGUUGCCAAGGCUGGAGUGCAGUGGCGCAAUCUCAGCUCACUGCGACUUCUGCCUCCCAGAUUCAAUUGAUUCUCCUGCCUCAGCCUCUUGAGUAGUUGGGACUACAGGCAUGUGCCACUACACCCAGCUAAUAUUUGUAUUUUUAGUGGAGACAGGAUUUCGCCAUGUUGGCCAGGCUGGUCUCGAAAUCCCAACCUCAAGUGACCUGCCCGCCUCGGCCUCCCAAAGUGCUGGGAUUACAGGCAUGAGCCACCGCACCCGGCUGGCCCCUAGAAUUCUUUGGUUGGUGGCUGCAUACCUCCAGUCUCUGCUCUGUCUUCACAUGACCUGCCUCAUGCAUUUUUGUGUGUCCUUUUCUGUCCCUCAUAGGACACUUGCCACUGGAUUUAAGGCCUGUCCUCAUUCAGGAUGAUCUCAUCUUGAACCUGGCCUAAUUACAUCUGCAAAAACCCUAUUUCCUAAUAAGAUGACAUUCUGAGAUUCUGAGUGGAUAUGAAUUUUAGGGGACAGUUUUCAACCCCCUGGAUGGGGCUUCACAGAGAAGAGGUGCCUGGUAGUCUUUGUAACUGGCUUAUUGUAUAUUUCAACACCCUGGACACACACAUAAAAGGGUUCUUCUCUCAAGACAAUUGUCAAUGACAUUCUUGCCAAUCUCCUUUUCCCAGUCCUUUGUGGCAUCAUGAACAGAUCCUGUAACUUUCUGGCCACUUCCCAAUAUUGAAAAGGCCAAGCCAGAGAGUCUGGCUCUGUCGCCCCGGCUGGAGUGCUGUGGCGUGAUCUCAGCUCACUGCAACCUCUGCCUCCUGGGUUCAAGUGGUUCUGCUGCCUCAGCCACCUGAGUAGCUGGGACUACAGGCAAGUGCCACCAUGCCCAGCUAAUUUUUGUAUUUUUAGUAAAGCCGAUGUUUUGCCAUGUUGGCCAGGCUGGUCUUGAACUCCUGGCCUCAAGUGAUCUACCCACCUCAGCCUCCCAAAGUGCUGGGAUUACAGGUGUGAGCCACCAUGUCCGGCUGCCAGUUUACUUUAAAACAGCCACCUAGUCCCCAUCUCCUAACUCAGGUUUGACGCACAGCCUGAGGAAACUGGAGAGGACCUGGCCACCUUUUGCUUCCUUCUCCCCGUGUUUCUGGCUCCCAAAGUACACCAAGGAGGAGGAUUUCAUGGGCAAACAAAUUUGGCCAAUGCUGCAUUAAACCAAGUUACCCAGAUGUCUCUACUUCAGGGUCAGUUGAUGUGUGAAUGUUCAUCCAAGAACAGGUGGUUUCCAAACUUCUUCAGCCCAGGACACUAUUUUUCCACAGAGCGUCCUACCUCCCUAGUGUUCCCCAGAGCACACUUUGUGAAACACCACACAAUAAAAAGUACUGCCAAAUAUAAAGUAUAUCCACAACUAUUACGUUUGCAUAGCAAUAGAAGAUGAGUUUUUGAGUAAACACAGCAACUGUGGAACAGUUUUGUGAUUUAUUCAGAAAACUGGCUCCAAGAUCGCUGUGGACAAGACCCAACUUGGCUGGGAGAUUGUAAUCCCUCAGUAGAGCCACGUGGACAGUGAAGCUGGCCGAAGUUUACUCUGAGAAAGGAUCAGAGACUGAAAUUGCUCUGAUUUUCCUAAACCCAGCUUCUGUAGUCAGGAAGAGGUAACUGUCAUAUUUAAAGGCAAGUACUUUCAGGAAAAAUUUGCAUGAUAGUGUGGUCCUAUAAGUUAUGCAAUUCUAUUAUGCAAAUUCAAUGAUAGGGACUCGGCAGAUGAUAAUAAUAAUAAUAUAAUAAUAAGAGAAAAGAUAGAAUUAACAAAUGCAAGUGGCAAGCAAAGCCUCGCCUUCUUCUCCUGGUGUAGAUCUCGGAUCCACCCAGUAAUCUCUGCUCCCAAGGGCCUCUCAGCCUCAAGCAUGAGUCUAGUAUUUAAAUAUCUGUUGUUUUCGUAUCCUACGACUUCUAAAAGCCGACCAACUUCAGCUGGUCCUCAGCUGGACAAUUGGCAACCUCUUCUGAUGCUGGAGAAAACCAGGCUGCCCUGGACUGAUGGGGAGAAAUUGACCAGCUCCCAACUUAGUGUCUUUCUAAGGAUUUCCAAGGAUAAUUUCUGACCAUUGUCUGUUCUCCCUAGAAGCUUUUUUUUUUUUUUUUUUUUUUUUGAGGCAGAAAUCACACCACUGGAGUCCAGUGACUCGAUCUCUGCUCACUGCAGUCUGUGCCUCCCAGGUUCAAGCAGUCCUCUCACCUCAGCCUCCCGAGUAGCUGAGACUACAGGCAUGCACCAUCAUGCCCAACUAAUUUUUGUAUUUUUGGUAGAGACAUGGUUUCGCCACAUUGCGCAGGCUGCUCUCCAACUCCUGGCCUCAAGUGAUCAGCUCCCCAGACCUCUCAAAGUGCUAGGAAUACAGGCAUGAGCCACUGCACCGGCCACCCCAGGAGUUUAUCGAGUCACACGACCAUGCCAUUGAGGCUCCCCUGUAGUCUCAAAACUGAAUUGAAUCUAGUUUUGUCCAUAUAAUCAAGGAGAAUAUUUUCUGAAAGCCAGGAUUAACCCAACAAUUGGAUAUCACGGGGGCCAUCGAGGUGAUAAGAUGUGAGGAAAGUCAACCAAGCUCACUCCAUGCCCCAUUCCCAAACUCCCCCAUACAUACACAAGAUAGCCUAGAGAAAAAAAGUUGAUCUGACUGUGUUAUCAGAAAGGGGUGGUAUUACUCAGCAGUCUAGCCGGGAUAGGUUUAUCCAUGUAGCUAACAGGCUGCCAAAGACCAGAGGGGAUUUGAAAAGCAGUGUGGGGGCGGGGGGUUGGGGGCAGAUAUGGAGCCUGUACUCCACCUCUCCAGCUUUCUCCUCCUGCAUAACAAUUCCCACUGCCCACGGAAUGAUGCCCAAACUCCAGGCCCUUUGUAUGCGUCUCCAGCCCUCAUGAGCUGAGACCAUCCCUGACCCUAAGGCAGGGUCUGGUUCUCAGUCAUCUACCAUUCUGCCCAGCCCUGAGCACAGAUUUUGGCAGAUAAGCCAGAGCUCAAUGGAUGAAGGUCAAAUGAGUGAAAAAGGAACCCACAUAAAACUCAGGUACCCUGUGCUCCAGUCUCAGCACUGCGUUAUGUCAAAAAUAAAAUAAUUUUUUGGGGGGCCAGGUGGGGUGGCUCAUGCCUGCAAUCCCAGCACUUUGGGAGGCAAAGGUGGGCAGAUCACUUGAGGUCAGGAGUUCAAGCACCAGCCUGGCCAACAAGGUGAAACCUCGUCUCU